UCAUUUUCUGACUAUUCGCUAUUACUGGAACAUUAGACUUGCAAACUGCCGCUUUUCAGUGCAUUUAGAGAUCAGUUCACUUCAAUAGAACACUUUCGAAUAUAGGAAUCAUUUUUCUAACGUGUAAAUAUCGAUUAAAUAAAAUAAAAAAAUAAAAAGACUGAGGUCAUGAAAAGGUGACGACAGCCAAGAACAGAAGACACAGCGAAAUCACAUUUACGGGACAAUGGCCAUCAAACAUUUCAAAACAUGUUAAAACAGUAACAAAAACUAAAAUUUUAUCAAACUCAAAUGCAAAAAUGCAUACUUUUUUAAAAGGAGGCAAGAGAGCAGGGAAAAUCAUCAAUGUCAUUCUCUUCUUCAUUACAAAAGGCAAUAUGCUUCUAUCAAAAUUUCAGAUGUUAGUGAUACCGGAGCACCUGAAUAAAGAAGUUAGGAGCAAAAGGCUAAAGUUAAUAGCGCAGAUUAGAUGUGGAAACAUAGAGAAAUGGAACAAAUAACAGUAAGACAAUAAUAAGAAAUACUUUGUAGAAAAAGGAAGGAAUGAACAAGGAGAAUGAAUGGACGAGAUAUUUGUAACAUUGCAAAAAGUAUUGUAAACCAACUCCUUUCUUGGCUUUGAUGCUGAAAUAAAAAAAUUAUAUUAUAUUCGAAUAAAACUGUUCAAAUAAAACAACUGAUCUUUCACCUUAACUGCAGAAACUCAUGUAUGAUUCAUUACAUACAGCAUUAAUUUCUAAAAUCCUAUAUAUUAACAGCAUUCUUUUUGAGAACAUGUUAAUGUUUUUUCUGACUUUUAUUAUGAAAGAUGUUUCACACAAAAGGUGGAGUUUGAGAUUGAAAAUUUAUUUAUAAUUAUUAAAUUGCAAAAAUAGUUUUACUCGCACUUAACAAAAAUUAUUUGAAAAGCUCAUUUGCUUGAAUACACAGAAAAAAAUAAUACUUGUAAUCAGUAAUUUUAAAAGCAUAUUUAUGUUAAAAGUAUGUUUCUAUGAUUCAUAUUUUAAACCUUAUAGGGAAAAAUGUAAAACAAUACUUUUUAUUUAUGUCCUUCCUAUCUUUCAUACACUAAAUUUGACAAAAUCACAGUUAAGAUAUUUUUCAAAUUAGUAGCAAUAAUUAGACUAUAAUCUUGAUAUAAUUAUAAGAAUCAUGGAACCAUUUAAGAUUUCAACUGAUUAUUAUAAUUCUUACAUACAGAAGCUAUUUUUAUGUUGUCCAUGUUGAUGAUGUCCUAAUUGCUUCUUAAGUAGUAUUUACAUAUCCUUCUGAAUCAUCAAAUAACCGACAAAUUUUACCAGUAAUUUACAAAAUAGCAUUUAAUUAUGUUGAUCACUAUUUUAUACGUUCUCAAGCAUAUGCAAAAGUUUCAAGCAACAUUUCUAUCUGUUUUAAAUAUUCUUCUGAUAAAACAAUGUAAGCGAUAUAUACACGCAUUAAAUUUAACAACCUAAGGUUAAAAUAUCUGGUAAAUUAAUAACUUUUCGAUACAAAUAGGC
rnacentral:misc_RNA from 1 species